rnacentral:rRNA from 1 species
AUGAAUCACGAAGAUGGCGCUGAUGCUUGGGGUUCUCAAAGGCCAGAAACGCCCCCUUGGGAUGCAUCAGAGUACAGUCAACUCAUCUCUGCAGGGCCGUUGCUGCCACUACUAGAACAGUAUGCAGGCGUAGGUUCUUAUGACCAAAACACUCAUAGGGGGCCCCCGUGGCAAGUUCAGUCACAAGGCGCUAACACUGACAAAUGUACGGGCAGCCAACUUCAACUAGCUAGUAUGUCUAAUCAAGAUCCUUCAUGCAGCACGUGGCAUCAAGCAGCACCCAUGUACCUGCCAUCGACAUCAUACACAGGGCCUACAACUACACUGAACAGCGGCGCGGGGACAUCUAUGGCGGGGAGCUCUAAGCGCACGGAAGACGCGUUCCACCAGCCAGCAGACAAUCAUGCCGCAAAAAAUUUCGAGUCAGAGUCGGGAAUGGCAAUCAUUCCAGCAAUGCCGACAAGCACCCCUUUGAACACAAGCACUGGCAACACUCAAUUAGAUGGAACUGACGCUGAUACCGAAGUGAAUGAUGAAACUAACGACGACGCAGAAGGGGAUGAAGAUGGUGGGCAAUCAGAGAUCGUGGUACCCCAGCCAUCGUACAUUGGGCAGAGAUUUGCAUCGUUCGAACAAGCAAAGGAAUACUACCAGACAUAUGCAAAGUUCCAUGGAUUUGCGGUCAACACCGAGUACCAUAGGAAAAUUAAGAAAACUAACGAGUACAGUAGAGGUGAGAUGAGGUGCCACAAGGCACAGAGGAACAAGAAGGGGAAAGGUGUUGCGCCUGUCGUUCCGGAACGAAAGAGAGGUAUCAUUCUCAAGACUGAGUGCCCUGUCCGGUGUAAGCUAAACAUAGAUGGAGCACAGUGGGUGGUCAAUGAAUAUUUUGACGAGCACAACCACCAACUCAAAAAGAAGUUUGACCUGGUAAAAUUUCUAACCGCCCACAGAGGGUUCACCCCCGUCGAAAGGCAAUUCAUAAAGCUGCUACAUGAUUGUAACGUCGGUCCAUCAAGAAUGGUACAGAUACUAUCUCUCAUCCACAGCAAAAAGGGGACUCUGAGUAGCUUGUCGUACAUACUAGCUGACGUCACAAACCUACAGGCCAAGUAUCAUAGAGAGAGAAAGUUGGCAGACAUAGAGGCCACAAUGGCCUACUUCGAUGAAAAAACGAAGGAAGAUCCAGAUUUCUUCUACAGGAUAAGACUGCGCAGCGAGGGGUUCAAUGCUGUUUUGAAGCGAUUCCAGGAAGAAAUAAAGCGUGCCAGCAUGUUCACGGCUUUCCAAGUGGACGAACAUACGUUCAAGGUGUGUUCUAUUUUGGGCAUGUCAGAUUCAGAACCUGAAGACCUGGACAAAGGAAGGAACUACUUCGUCAAAGCCUCGAUAGGCGAAGGCGAGUACUACUGCCAAUGCUGCAAGUUCGAACGGGACGGCAUUGUGUGCUGUCACAUACUAAAAGUAAUGGACAUGAACGCUAUGACACGGAUGCCCCGCCAUUUCAUAAGGCGGCGAUGGACUUGGGACGCUGACGACGCGUUGGCACCGCAGAUAACACACGCAGUUCUGGCUGUGCAUGACGAGAGACCUGAGUCAACCAUCGAAGCCGUGAGGCACGUUGUGCUGACAAAGAACUAUGCUGAGCUAAUUGAUGAAGCAUGCAAGAUUGGUGAGACAGUGAGAGUAGCAGAAAAACACAGGAAGGCACUGAAAAGAGAGCUUGAUGAGAUCAAGAAGAGGAAAGCUGAGGAAGCCUUACACCGGUUCCCCCGCACAUCAAGUGUGCCUUCAUCCACGGGGCCAUCAUCUAAAAACUUGGAGAUAGGAUCUGGAACAGCAAGCACACAGACCCAGGUCAGGAACCCACCCCGUUCUAUCACAAAGGGUCGUCUCAGAGAGAUAAGGUACAAGUCGGGAUUGGAGAUCCAAGCAAAACACAAGAAAACAAAGAAAGGGGCGGGCAAUCCAUGA